UCUUGAAAAUUUGGCUUUUAGAAAAAUUCAUAUUUAAUUCAUUACAUGUUAAAAAACUAAAAAAAUUUACAAAAAGAGUGUAUUACGAUGUUAUGAACAUGUAUGUAAAAAAUCUUUCAAAAAUUUAGAAGUUUAAGCAUAAUUAAACAAAUUUUAAUUUAAUAGGGACUAAAAAACUGACAGAAAAUUUUGUAGGGACUAAAAAGUGUGAUUUAUUUUUAUAGGGAUUAAAACCAAAACUGCAGAUAUUUAUAGGGACCAAAAACUUAAUUAACCCUUAUAUUUAAUACAAAGUUUUUUUUUUUUUGAAGAAAUUUAAUACAAAGUGUUUGUUAAUUUGCAGUUGGUGAAAUAGAAGAAUUCAAAUCAAAAGUUUCAUGGAAUCGUGGAGCCUGGACCUGGCCAAAAUAUGGAGUAAAAGGAAAUGGUGGUAAAGGAGGAUCAAAGGGUGGAUCAGGCUCAGGCGAAAAUGGUGGUGAAGGAGGUGCGCAAGGUGGAGGUGGACAAAUCGAAGGUGGAAAAGACAAAGGAAGUGGACUUGAUGCAAGAGGAGGAGGAAGAGGAGAAAAUAAUAAUAUUGGUUGGGGAUAUUUGAAAAAUUAGGGAGGUUACAAUUGUGACAUAAGUAGCAAAAGUGAAGGGAAUCAAGAGCCUCCAUGAAAUCCAGAUGAAUGAAUGUGUCUAUUCAUUCCCAUAAAGCAUGUAAAAUAAAACCAUAAACUCUAUUUCACUCUAUGUCUAGUCUAUUAACUUCUUUCACCAUUGUCUUGGAUUGUACCACUUAUGUUUCCAUAAACUCUAUUCCCAUGAAGAAGUACCACGAUUUUAUGUUAUAUUAUUUUUCUCAACUCACUUCUUUAAUUUCUUAUAUUAAAUAUGUCAUUUUAUGUAACUCAAUUGUGAAUAAAUUACUAGGGUCUCUAUAACUCAUUACAGAAAAGUCAAGAACUACAAGAAAAUUCAACAUGAUCAAUUGUUAAAAUAAAUACACAUAAACAAAAAGAUAUCAAGGGACAACAAUAACCAAAAGAAUAUUUUUGGAGCUAAUAUAUCCAGAACCAUGGCAAUGUAUAAAAAUAAAAUAAUGUAAGAGCGCUCCAAAACUUUGUAUAUCUAAAGUAACAAAAUAAAUGUUUAACAACCCACUCAUACUAUUCGAAAAAGAGAAUUUAAUUUGUCGAAUACUUGAUUCCUGCCUAAGCACCACACUAAGUGUAUCAGUGUAUGUUUGAAUUCAAUUUUUGCAAAGCUAAAAGAGACUUUCAAGACCCAAGCAUAAUUUUUACGCUCAAGUUUAUUUUGACAAAUCACUUUUACAUAAACGCAUUCAAACAUAAUCAAUUUUAGUUUAAAGUAACAUUAACACUCACUACUAAAAAAAGCAAAAUUAGCGAGGAAAAUUAGUGACGGAAAAAAUGAAAUUCCUCACAAAUUCCUUAAUCGCAAAAUUUAGUGACGGAAUUAGAGAGGGAUUUUAUGUUUUCCCUCACUAAAUAUCCCUCACUAAUUUUUGUUUUUUAGUAGUGACUAUAGAAACGAACACACACCAACGAUUUGAGACAAUGAAAUAUUCCUCCUCAAAAGCACACUAUAAUUCAAACAACUAAACAAACAUCAAGAGCUCUAAAGAAAGAGAGAUGUGACAUGCAAUGUUUGAUGGGUAUUAUACCUUGUAUAUAUUUAGGAACUUGCAACCAGAAUUAAUUUGACUGCGUGAAUAAGUUUAUGGCUUACAAUAAAUAAAGGGGUUGAAAGGGUUUAUAUUAAAAAAAUCAAUAUGAAUAUUGUUUGUAGGAUGAAAUCAAGAAACUUUGUUUCAAGUGAUUCAAAGUCCAUAUUCAUAUUUAAAAAAAUCAAAUAUGUCCUCAAACUAACUUAUGGUCAAUGAUAUUAUACAUUUUAUCUAGCAGUUAUAUCUGUUUUUCAUGAUAUCAUUUAUCAAUGACAUUUUAUUAACCAAUACUGAUAUAUGAUUGUUUCCCUAAAAACAUGAUAUGUGUUUAAUAAAAAAAAAAACAAAUUACACAUUAUUUUAAUUUAAUCUUGAAUAUCAUUUUGAGAUACUUAUUUUUUUUUUUUCUUCCGAGAAUUUACAUAUUUUGAUAUUAUUCUUGAGGUAUCAUUCAUUUAUUGCAGCAAAUAUAUUUUGUUUUGAUGCAACUACAAAAUAAAAUUGUUACUAAAGGAUAUUGAUGGAUAAUUUAUAAAGUGUAUUAAACUCCAGUCAAGUAAUAAUAUUCAUAAAUUUUGUACAUAUAUGGGAAUUGUGAAACUUCUACUCAACAAUGUCAGUUGUAACUAGGAUGUUAAACUAUAGGGUCGCAUUAGGAUCACACUAGGAUCGGUUCACUCCCCUUGGUGUUUGUUUCUCUAAUUAAUAACUAUUUACAUUCUAGGUUCAGCAGAUUUUACUCAAUAUUAGUAAUUACUACUAGAGUCAAUUCGCUCUACGUAUAUUUCGUUUAGUUACUAAUCACUUACUUCCUAAAUAGGUAGAUAUUAAUAUACGAGAUAUAAAUAUCAAGAUAUAAGCAUCAAGAUAGUAAUAUCAAUAUUAGGCCCUGUCACAACCUAAGUACCUAGUCUAGGGUUUCACUUCGCCGAAAUACUAAUCCUAACAAAACAUAAUAGCGAACAUAAAAUACACUAAAAUAAAUGACAUUAAAUUAAAUAAUUAUCCAACAAAACAAAUAGAGGUUCAUCUUAGAACCCUAGCCUUUAAAUAUCUAGCUACAUAUGAGAACUAUGACAAAAUAUACAAAAAGAAAAAAAAAACAUACCCUAGAAAAGAUAGGAGAAGAUAGAACACCUCAUUGGCUUCUAGAAUCGCCUUCCUCUUGAUCUGCUCUAGUUUUGAACGAGAAAUUUUGAAUGAGGAAGGUGGUAUUUAUAGGGAAAGUUUCCACCUAACUUGGGCUAAAAACAUUGGCUUCUAGGGGUGAAAAAGUCACAAAAUAUGACUUUUUUCGCAAGUGACGGGCCGCCUAUCACCUAAGGCCAUGCACCUAGGGCAUGUGCCUGUUAAGCUGAGGUGCCUAGCGUCGUCUGGCAUGCGCCAAGAGCUUCUGUGUAUUAGCUCUGGGGCGCCUAGCGCCCCUUAUGGUGCGUUUGGGCGCUUCGGUGCGUUUUCUAUGCUAAAAUGCUUGUUUUCUUUGCCUUUUGAGGUGUUUUCUUCAAUAUUAGAUGUCUUGGAACUUGGGAAUAGAAGUCAUCCCUCUGUAAAGUCUUCUGAAGCUUCUUGAAUCUUCAUUCUUCAUCAUCCCAAGGACCACAUAAAUCUUCGGAUGUCUUGCUUUGCAUGAUUUCUUCAUGAAUUACAUUAAGAACACCAUAAAAUUGCUAUGUUUUAGGAAGAAUAGAAUUACAGACUCAAAUAUAGAAAACAAUUCAAAUGUUCCGAAAUGAUAGGCAAUUGAUCUAAUACUCCUCUGUUUUACUGGUAAAACCUAUUAAAAUAGGUUGAAAAACAUGCUAGGAAUAAUGUAAGAUGACCUGUAAUCAAUGAACUUCUAAGAUUCAUAGAUGAGGGAACCUUUAGGACCAUUGAGAAUUUAGGAAACCCAAAUUUAAGUAAUUUUUUAAUUACCUCCAUGAGAGUAAGAACCCCACAUACCUCUACACGUGAAGGUGCAUCUCCAUACAGUAUUGUCGACCCUAAGUUUUAACAUGCGUAGACACUCCUUUGUAAGAUUACAACUUGACAGAAUGAGGGGAAUAAACCCAGACUUCUGAGAGUAAGGCCCCAUAUGUACAAACCCAUUUGAUCAUUAUCUGAAACUCAUCAUAUGUUAUGAAAUUAAACCCAACGAACUAAUCACUAAAAUAAAAGAUGUAAAUUCAAUAUUUGAAUAAUGCUUGACCAUUAAUUUAUUCAAACAAAUGAAUAGACGGGAUUUGACCGCCUCUAAUAUUCUUCAAUCAAAAUAGGUUACUCCUAAACUAUUGCUUUGUGCAAACAGACUAAAUUGAAAAACCCCUUUUAUCUUUUAUUUUAUUGUUUUAAUUUACUGUUUUUUGUUCCUGAAUAAGUAACGUGAAUUGUCUAGUUGGAAUGACAAUCCCUGUAGAUAUGAUACUCUAAUUAUACUUUACUACUUGAUAACCAAUUUUGUACACUUGCCUAAAUCCGACCAUCAGUCAUCCUUAUGGAUAUGUUUUUCUUACUCGCAGGUAGUAGCUACUUGAUUUGUUGACUAGGUCCAUAGUCUUUCCUUUUCUAUACUGCAAUGGAUCAUGUCUUUGAGUUAGUACAUGACGGCAUGUUGGACUGAUCUUGCUUAACCUUAUUUUGAUAUUACAUUAUAUUUGAUGGAGUUGUAUAUUGGACAAGACCUUUUACCCACAUGUUGGGUUGUAACUAUUUCAUCCACAUGUAUCAAUUCGUUAGAAAUAUUUUUAUUUUGGAAAAUACUUACACUGAUUUUAUUUGAAGGAUAUGGUGAUAUUGAUAUAUUCCGCUCGUAGUAAAAAAUACACUCGCACAGUUAAAAAUCGAGGUGUUACAAAGUUUCAGUUAAAAAUAAAUUAUUAAUAAAGUUCAACUUUCUGCAUCCCCUAACUUAAGGUCUUGGAUCUGCCAUCUUGCAUGACUUGAUAUCUCACAUCCGUAAUAGUGUUUAUGUACUAUUGUUAUUCCACGUCACACUAAAGCUUGACUACGUACUUUAAGAAUAAUGCUCUUAUGUCUCGUGAUUAAGUCAUACUUAACGCUCCAUUAAAAAGAUUAACUAUUAUUGGGGCUUUAUAACUUUGACAUAAACAUAAUAAAGAAAUUAUUUAUAUUAUUAAUAAAUAGUCAUGAUACAUUUCUAAUCUUAAACCUAAAAACAUUAGCCUCUUACACCAACACAAACUAAUAUAGAACUAUAAGUCGUAAUCUCCUUAAUAUAAUCAAGAGUUACAUGUUCCAAUUUAACCCUUACAUGGAUCAAUAGGUGUUGUGUUGAUGACUUCAUAUCCUCAUAAUAAGACAAAUUAUAUUAUAUUAUCUUUUUCAUUGAAUAUAUAUAAUUUAAUCAAUAUCUUUUAAUUCAUGUUUUAUGUAUCAUGUCUGAUAAUCACUAUAAAUAGUUGAUGGUUGUAUUCAUAUUUAACUACAAUAUAAUCUUAGUUUCUCAAGGAUGAAAAUAAAGUCUAUUAUCUCAUUCUCCUUUAUUUGUGCACUAGUUUUUAUCUCUGGUGUGGCAACUGAGUCAUCCAAAGAUGAGAAACAAUGUAUAUAAACAUAAAUAGACACAUUUUUUUUUUUCCUUCUUUUAUUAUAUUUAUUACAAAGUUUAUUUUUUAAAAAAAUUUAAUACAAAGUAUUUGUUAAUUUGCAGUUGGUGAAAUAGAAGAAUUCAAAUCAAAAGUUUCAUGGAAACUUGGAGCCUGGACCUGGCCAAAAUAUGUAGUAAAAGGAAAGGGUGGUAAAGGAGGAUCAAAAGGUGGAUCAGGCACAGGAGGAAAUGGCGGUGAAGGAGGUGCACAAGGUGGAG
rnacentral:lncRNA from 1 species